rnacentral:rRNA from 1 species
AUUGAACGCUGGCGGCAUGCUUUACACAUGCAAGUCGAACGGUAACAGGCCUUCGGGUGCUGACGAGUGGCGAACGGGUGAGUAAUGCAUCGGAACGUGCCCAAUCGUGGGGGAUAACGUAGCGAAAGUUACGCUAAUACCGCAUAAGCCCUGAGGGGGAAAGCAGGGGAUCGCAAGACCUUGCGCGAAUGGAGCGGCCGAUGUCAGAUUAGCUAGUUGGUGGGGUAAAGGCCUACCAAGGCGACGAUCUGUAGCGGGUCUGAGAGGAUGAUCCGCCACACUGGGACUGAGACACGGCCCAGACUCCUACGGGAGGCAGCAGUGGGGAAUUUUGGACAAUGGGCGCAAGCCUGAUCCAGCCAUGCCGCGUGCGGGACGAAGGCCUUCGGUUGUAAACCGCGUUUCAGCGGAAACGAAUACGCCAAGGCUAAUAUCCUUGUGGAUGACGGUACCGGAAGAAGAAG